rnacentral:rRNA from 1 species
GAAGAUAGGCUGACCGGCUACUUGGCCUCAAACGUCUAGUUGACGCCUCUGCUCUUAAUUGAGUGGGGGUCUAGGCUGGACCUUUUACCUUGAAGAAAUUGGAGUGUUCAAAGCAGAUUUUCAUUCGUCUUGCACAUAUAGCAUGGGACAAUGAAGAAGACUGUGUCAGAGUCUGGUAGUAGCUCUGCAUGUAUGAUCGAUAGGGGCGAAGGGGCGGUGGUAUUCAGCGCUAGAGUGAAAUCUUAGAUUCGCUGCAGACUCCGGAAGCAAAAGCGUUCCGCUACCGUACUCCCGUUGAUCAAGAACGAAAGUUAGGGGAUCGAAGACGAUCAGAUACCGUCGUAGUCUUAACUAUAAACGAUGCGGACCAGAGGUUAAGCCUCAUCCUUUGUACGAUAUUCCUAGCAUCUUUGCGAGAAAUCAUUGAGUUUUUGCGUUCUGGGGGGAGUAUGGUCGCAAGGCUGAAACUUAAAGGAAUUGACGGAAGAUCACCACCAGGAGUGGAAUCUGCGGCUUAAUUUGACUCAACACGGGGAAACUCACUCGGUCAGGACAUAGUAAGGAUUGACAGAUUGAUAGCUCUUUCUUAAUUUCUAUGGGUGGUGGUGCAUGGUCGUUCUUAGUUGGUGGAGUGAUUUGUCUGGUUAAUUCCGAUAACGAACGAGACCUCAGCUUGUUAACUAGUCUGUGCAAUCUUCUAUAUGGGAGAAGUUACUCGACCACCUGGAGCU